rnacentral:lncRNA from 1 species
UAAGCUUUGCCCUAGGUAACUUCUAUUUUAUUUCUUUUUUGAAUGUCCUAAGAAACAUAAAUGGGGUAAAAGCAUUAAGAAGGUAUAUUUGGCCAUCUAGUAGCUUGAGACUGAACUUAGUGAGUAAGCGCGGUGGGUUGGAGGCUUUUUUUACCCAGCCUAUACAAGACUCUUUUUUCGGUUCGCUUCUUGGAGAAGGAAGUAAAGGAAGAUGAGAGAGCAUUUUUUCGAUUUGUUUACUCAAGCAAAGAUCUAGCGAACCUCGAAUCAAAACCUUUCUUUUCUACGCUUUCUUCUCUUAUGAAAUUGAUAGUUUGUGAUCGAGGGUGAGGAAUGACCACUAGACCAAGACAUGGGAAAAAGAAUAGAGAGAUGGAUGUUCACCCAACCAGACUGAAAUGAAUCUGAGUAUUUGAGCCCCUCUCUUCC